GGAGAGCUUGGCACUCUGCGUGUUCAGCACACUGCUUCUCUUACGGUUUUCUAGAGAAACAACUGAUAGAAUGAAUCUCUAUAUCAAGCAGACUUAUGAGAGUGGCUUACAGGCUGUGGUCUAGCUAGACAAACAAUGGCUGUCUUCCACGGGAAUCUCAGUAUUUCAGUAGUCUUUCAGUCCAUGAGGACUUCAGUGUAUCCUGGGAUCCAGAAGAAGUAGGCUCUAAUGCCAGUGAAGCAGGUAUUGAUACAGCCUCAGGGCAGAUGAACUGGCCAGUGGGAGUGAGGGCGAGCAGGCAAAACGAAAAAGCUUCUCUCCCAUGUCCUUUAUGUUGGCUGCCACGAGAAGGUGUGCCUCAGAGUUAGGGUGGGUCUUCCUACCUCAAAUAACCCAAUUAAGAAAAACCCAUUAGGUAUGCCUAGCUGCUUUGGAUUUUAGUUAAUUCCAGAUGUAGUCAAGACUACCUAUCACAAGUAGGUACUUUUUUUUUUUCCUGUAAAGACAUUAACAGUACCUUAAAAUUGUUAACCUCUGUGGUCAUGGUGACUGGUGUGGGCUUGCAAUCCCAGGAUUGAAGAGGCAGAGAGGAGGGUCAUUGUAAACUGGAGGCAACAUAGGAGACCUUGUCUGAGCAAAAAUCAAACUUUUUCAGUUAUUUUUUUUUAUUCUACAUUAGCAGAAAUAAUACGACAUGUGAACAAUUUCUAAGCCCUCUACAAAUAGUUUUGUCAAAUACUGGCUUUUUGGGAAGCAUCCUGUUUAAUAUUUAUAAUUAGGUUGUUGACUUUGAUCAAUGAAGUAUUUUAACUUUCAUAAGAAAUUCCUUUGUUUAAAUUGUGUUACUAGGGAAAUAUUAAGUAAAUUGGUUUUAAUUUUAAAAUUUAUUUUUAUAUAAAAGUCCUUUGGCCUGGUGGUGGCGGCAUGUCCCUUUAAUCCCAGCACUCAAGAUUGUAAACACACAGGCAGAGAACUAGUUUCGAGGCCAGCCUGGUCUACAGAGUUAGGUCCAGGACAGCCUAGGCUACUCAGAGAAACCCUGUCUCGAACGAAUGAACGAACAGGACCUUUGAAGAGAAUGUAUUAGAAACAAUACUUUAGGAAAAAAUGGAUAAGUUUCUGUUUCAUAAGAAUUUUAUUGAUCUCAAAAUUAUGACAUUUACAAAAACCACAAUACUGCUUUUACUAUGUGUAAAAAGGAGGGUUUCUUGUGAGUUUAUUAUCGGUUUACUAAGUUAAAAAAUUGUUCCUUACCAGGCCACUAGGGGCUACUCCUGUAUUUAGGCAGAAGAUGCAGUUACCACUACAGCUUAAAAAUCAUCUCCUUCUAGUGUAAUUAGCACUGCCUCAUUUGCUUACAUGAACAAAGUAGAGUUUUAAGGCUGCUUUGAGCUAUUAAUUUUGAUAAUAAUAUGCACCUUUGAUAAGGAUUUGCAGUAAUUUUACUUUUUACAUUUAUUUACUGGUAUGAUGUAUGUGAAGAGGUCAGAAGACAACCUGUGGGAGUCUGUUUUCUUUCUACCAUGUGAAUUCCAGUGCUGGAUCGUGGGUCAUCAGGCUUGGCAGCAAGCUCCCUUAUUCAUUGAGCCAGCAAUGCUGGCCCUGCUUUGUGUGUAAAAAUUCAUUGGCUACUUUUUCUAAUGGUGCUGCCUCAAACUGACUUCUUUGAUCACUUGGGGAAAAGUUAUAGUUUUCUUCUUUGGUACAGAACAUGUUUCUGAUUUUUUACAUUAUACCAUUCCUUAGAAACUCAGAAAAGCUGGUAUUUGGCUACUUUUUUUUUUUUUCUUUUUCAAAAUUAUGUGUGCCUUGGAGAUAGGCAACUAGAAGAAUAUUCAUGUUACUUUCAAGAGUGUUUAAGAAGUGGAUAUGGUGGUGUGUGCCUGUGGUCCUAGCACGGGGACUCUGAAGGGAGACAGAAGCAGGAGGAUCUUCAGUGCAGGGCUAGCGUGGCCUAUGUGGUAAGGCCUUGGUGCCAAAACCGAGCACACGGACAGCUAGUCAAGGUUUUUUAACAGUUUAUUUUUGUCUACAUUUCUUUCUAGUUACAUAGAAAAAUACAGUUCAGUGUAGUUUAUAGAAAAGUAUGAUUUAAAGAAAAACAUACGAAGCCGAGCGAGAGUGUGCUCUUGCUCUUUUCUGUCCCUACCCCUCCCCUCCAGUGUGUCAUGUUUGCCGGUUGAUCCUGAUCUCAGUAUUUAGCUGAGGAUGGCCUUGAACUUAGUUCCAUAUUUAAUAUGGCAGAUUUGAAGGAAAAUAAUUUAGGCACAUAUGUAUUAAGAAAAGAAUGUUAGGGGGUGUGUCUGUCCUGGCUUCCACUCCUUUUUCCAUGCCACCAGGACUUAACCACAGAAGCCCCAGGUCUUAUUUAAUCCUACUUUCUGAAGUGCUCACCUCUAAAAAUCAUAGAGUGAGUUUCUACUUUCUGAAGUACUCACCUCUAAACAUCAUAGAGUGAAUUUCUGACCUCAUAACAGAGAUUGAGUUUCAGUGAGUGCAUGAACCAUUGGGAUAUACACUCAGUCCCAUCCAGAUCACAGCAGCUACCUCAGAGUUAACGUAGCCUGUUGGGCUCUGUAUUUCCCACUCGAAACAAACUUCAUGGGUUUUGACUUCCCUAUUCAUUGUCCUCCCCAUGCUGGGGAUUGAAGUCAAGUCUCUACACAUGCUUGGCAGCUGCUCUACCACUAAGCUGUAUCCUUAACCUAUUAAAGUGUCUUAUUUUUUAUGUGCCUUUUAAAAAAUACGUGUGUGUGUGUGUGUGUGUGUGUGUGUGUGUGUGUGUGUGUGUGUGUAGAUCAAAGGACAACUUUUGCAAGUCGGUUCUCUCCUUUCCAUGGAGUAUGAGGAUAGAACUCAGGUCAUCAGGCUUGGUGGCAGGCACUUGGACCUAGCUGAGCCACCUUAUGGGUCUUAUUCUACUUCUCACUCUCCACUCCUUUUAAAAAAAAAAAAAAGUUUUUCUUUUGAGGCAGGGUCUUGCUGAGUUGCCCUGACUGACUUGAACUCAGCAGCCUGCGGUCCCAGGCUCCUGACUACAGGCCCACAUCACAGUUGCAUAGGCCUGUACUUCAAAUUUAGGUGUUCCUCUCUCUCUCUCUCUCUCUCUCUCUCUCUCUCUCUCUCUCUGUUCCAAUCAAUCAAUCUCUCUCUCUCUCUCUCUCUCUCUCUCUCUCUCUCUCAUACACACACACACACACACACACACACACACACACACACACACACGGUUUUCUGUGUGAGAUGAUUAUAUUAUUUUCCUUACUGUUUCAUUCUGUUAAUAAAUAAAGGUUAACUGAGUUACUAGUUUGUUUUUUUGGGGGGAGGGAGGGUGUGUUUUGAGACAGGGUUUCUCUGUGUAGCCCUGGCUGUCCUGGAACUCACUCUGUAGACCAGGCUGGCCUCUGCUUCCCAAGUGCUGGGGUCAAAGGUGUGUGCCACCACUGCCUGGCCCUGAGUUACCAAAUUUAACUCAGUUCACCUGACUUAUGCUAGUUUACAACAAAUGGGAAGCUCUGUGCAGUUCUGAGAGAUUUGGAAAUAGAAAUUGAGGCAUGUGGGAUCAGACAAUGUAUGGAUUUGUCUGAAAAUGAAGGGGGCCUGAGAGAGAGGUCUACAGGCUACCAGAGCAACAGUGUUGAGUGCUAGCAUUGCGUUUGACAUUCUCAUUGUACAUUUGUUCUAUUCUUAUUUCCCCAGUGACAUGGGGAGUGAGAAGUUGGGCCUUUUACUUGUCUGUCUGGUUUGGAUGACUUAAGAGUUCAUUCCCAUGAUAGUAGCUGUGGUGGAAUAAGAGGCAUUGUCUCCUGUGGAUCAACUUUCCUAACUAGUUCUCCAACUACUAAGUGAAGAUCCUGGUUGUAUGUCUUGACUAAGUCGUGAAAUAUGAUUGAUUCAUCUAAGACCAUAUUCUGUUUUAUACUUUCUUGAUUAUUUGUUGUAAAAUGCAUUUUUCUCAGACAAGAAAACAACAAGAAAAAAACCGUUUUAAUGCUUGUCUUUAGAGCAGUUUGCGUUCUCAUUUUCAUGGCAUCACACAUCAGCAUUGUAUGUGAGGCAAAGAGUUUACUGCUGGGCUAUAGCCCUAGGCCCAAACUUUUAAUGUCUAUGGCCAUUUCCAAUUGAUGUUCAAGUUUUUAAAUUUUAGUUUUGUUUGGUUUUUCACAUAUCACUGUAUAGAAUAUUGGUUACUAAGGGGGAAGUCUUGACUUUAAAAAUCUGAACUGGGAGGAGGGGACUGAACUGGCCGCCGUCUCCUAUAACCAGGUAAUACUUCCAAUGGAGGGAUUGGGACACCCACCUAGACACAAAACCCUCAAUCUACAGUUUGUCCUGCCUAUGUGGAACAGAAAUUGAGGGAAUGGCCAACCAGUGACUGCGCAAGCUGAGAUCCAUGCCAUGAGAGGGAGUCUAUCCCUGACUCUGUUAAUGAUAUUCUGCCGUACUUGGAGACAGGAACCUAGUGAGUGUAAUUGCCAUCAGAAAGGCUUUACUCAGCAACUGAUGGAAACAGAUGUAGAGACCCAUAGCCAAACAUUAGGUAGAGCUUGGGGAAUCCUAUGGAAGAGGGGGAUGAGGGAUUGUAGGAGCCAGAGGGGUCUAGGACACCACAAGGAAAUCUACAGAAUCAACUAACCUGGGCCCAUAGAGGUUCAUAGAGACUGAACUGUCAACCAAGGAGCAUACUUGGUUGUACAGCCUGGUCUUCCUGUGGGACUCCUAACAGUGGGAGCAGAGGCUGUCUCUGACGCUGUUGUCUGCUUUUGGGACCUUUAUUCCCCUCCUGGGCUGCUCUUCUAGCUUCAAUAGGAGAAGGUGUGCCUAGUCCUACUACAAUUUGAUAUGCCAAGGCUGUUUGAUAUCCAUGGGAGGCCUCUCUUUCUCUGAAGAGAAAGUGGAGGGAGAGCUGGGAGGAGAGGAGGGAGGGGAAACUACUGUUGGGAGAUAAGGUAAAUUAAUUAACUAUAAAAAUCUGAGCCGGGCUUGGUGGCCCACGCCUUUAAUCCCAGCACUUGGGGGGGUAGAGGCAGGCGGAUUUCUGAGUUUGAGGCCAGCCUGGUCUACAAAGUGAGUUCCAGGACAGCCAAGGCUACACAGAGAAACCCUGACUUUAAAAAACAAAAACAAAAACAAAACACCCC
rnacentral:lncRNA from 1 species